rnacentral:lncRNA from 10 species
AGCGCCGCCCGCCGUCGCCAUCUGUUUCCCUUCCCUCCCCCAUACCUAGCCCGAGUCUGAGCCCUAACGAGAAGGCUGGGCCUAGGCCGCUGGAUGCUGGAGUGAAAGGAAGGGAGAAAGGGAAAAAGCGGGAAGAGUCGAGAAGGCUGAGUGUUAAGAGGCCAAGUGCGACGCGCGUAUCCGGGCAGACGGACUGACGGACGGGCCCGUGCUUCUGCCGCGGCUGCGGCGCCCGCGCGAGUCGCGUCUAAGCGGCGGCGGCGGUGGCAGCGGCGGAAACCGAAGGGGAGCCAUGGCGGCUGACAGUCGGGAGGAGAAAGAAGACUAGACUCUUCCAGCUGGUUGUUUUCAGAUGGAGAACUUAAUGUUCUGGAUGAUAUUUUAACUGAAGUACCAGAACAAGAUGAUGAACUGUAUAAUCCAGAGAGUGAACAAGAUAAAAAUGAGAAAAAGGGAUCAAAAAGAAAAAGUGAUCGAAUGGAAUCUACUGAUACCAAACGACAAAAGCCUUCUGU